CUACAGGCUUAACACAUGCAAGUCGAGGGGAAACGAUAUUGGAAGCUUGCUUCCGAUAGGCGUCGACCGGCGCACGGGUGAGUAACGCGUAUCCAACCUGCCCACCACUUGGGGAUAACCUUGCGAAAGUAAGACUAAUACCCAAUGAUAUCUCUAGGAGACAUCUGAAAGAGAUUAAAGAUUUAUCGGUGAUGGAUGGGGAUGCGUCUGAUUAGCUUGUUGGCGGGGUAACGGCCCACCAAGGCAACGAUCAGUAGGGGUUCUGAGAGGAAGGUCCCCCACAUUGGAACUGAGACACGGUCCAAACUCCUACGGGAGGCAGCAGUGAGGAAUAUUGGUCAAUGGACGAGAGUCUGAACCAGCCAAGUAGCGUGCAGGAAGACGGCCCUAUGGGUUGUAAACUGCUUUUAUAAGGGAAUAAAGUGAGUCUCGUGAGACUUUUUGCAUGUACCUUAUGAAUAAGGACCGGCUAAUUCCGUGCCAGCAGCCGCGGUAAUACGGAAGGUCCGGGCGUUAUCCGGAUUUAUUGGUUUAAAGGGAGCGUAGGCCGGAGAUUAAGCGUGUUGUGAAAUGUAGACGCUCAACGUCUGCACUGCAGCGCGAACUGGUUUCCUUGAGUACGCACAAAGUGGGCGGAAUUCGUGGUGUAGCGGUGAAAUGCUUAGAUAUCACGAAGAACUCCGAUUGCGAAGGCAGCUCACUGGAGCGCAACUGACGCUGAAGCUCGAAAGUGCGGGUAUCGAACAGGAUUAGAUACCCUGGUAGUCCGCACGGUAAACGAUGGAUGCCCGCUGUUGGUCUGAAUAGGUCAGCGGCCAAGCGAAAGCAUUAAGCAUCCCACCUGGGGAGUACGCCGGCAACGGUGAAACUCAAAGGAAUUGACGGGGGCCCGCACAAGCGGAGGAACAUGUGGUUUAAUUCGAUGAUACGCGAGGAACCUUACCCGGGCUUGAAUUGCAGAGGAAGGAUUUGGAGACAAUGACGCCCUUCGGGGGCUCUGUGAAGGUGCUGCAUGGUUGUCGUCAGCUCGUGCCGUGAGGUGUCGGCUUAAGUGCCAUAACGAGCGCAACCCCUCUCCUUAGUUGCCAUCAGGUCAAGCUGGGCACUCUGGGGACACUGCCACCGUAAGGUGUGAGGAAGGUGGGGAUGA
rnacentral:rRNA from 1 species